UACGUAGGGUGCAAGCGUUAAUCGGAAUUACUGGGCGUAAAGCGUGCGCAGGCGGUUUUGUAAGUCUGUCGUGAAAUCCCCGGGCUCAACCUGGGAAUUGCGAUGGAGACUGCAAGGCUAGAAUCUGGCAGAGGGGGGUAGAAUUCCACGUGUAGCAGUGAAGUGCGUAGAGAUGUGGAGGAACACCGAUGCGAAGGCAGCCCCCCUGGGUCAAGAUUGACGCUCAUGCACGAAAGCGUGGGGAGCAAACAGG
rnacentral:rRNA from 1 species